rnacentral:lncRNA from 1 species
AAACUAUCAUUGCCUCACUCACAGCUUAUCUUAUCACUAUUAACGACUGUGUUUUUGAGAAUGGGCCACCAACCAAGUGUACAUACCGCCUCUAAGCCGCACAAGAUCUCUGUUAAAUAAGUGUCAUUAUUAUCCACUAUUCGCAAAUGAGGAGAUCGGAGACCAGAGAUGUAAAAAUUAGCCCAGCGUAAAAGUUGGGGUGACAGGAAGAGGAGUCACACUCGGCUUACUUGGGUCGUAAGGCCCAAGUGCCUCCUCCUGCCGGUGUCCUGCCGCUCGCUGCUGUGGUUACGUGGUGUGUCUUUAGACCUCAUUUUACCCGACUUCUCAGGGUUCCCCAAGCUAAUCAGAUGCCCUUCGGAACCCAAGCUUUAGAAAAAUGACACAAAGUUGAAAUAUGCCUAAAGACAAAUGUUUACAUGUGGCGCCUCUGCCACCCCAGUUAGAAUCCGCAGAGUGAAACAGAGAAAUUCCACAGACGAGCCACCUUCUAGAGACAGACGCCGCAGGAAACCCAAGGAGCUGAAUUAAGUCACUGAGUCAACAGGUGGCUGGACAGUUAAGAACGGACAUCCGCUAUAGGUCAAGGGCGAGAACACACGAAAGAGGGAGAGAGCCGAGGGCAGCUACGAAAUGAGGGUGGGACCCGACAAAACGCGGGCGGAGGCCGGCCCAGCAGCUCUGAGGGUGGCCGGUGGGGCCAUUGAAAGGCUCCCCUUCUGUGGCUUUACCCGAGACUUGGGGUUUGCGAAGCCGGGUGGGGAAAGUCCUUUGAGGGGGAUGUGGAGGCUAAAUCAACAGCAUGACGUGUCCCGAGGGGGGACGCUCCGAGCCGAUGACGUGCAGAUUUCUCAGGCUGGCAGCCUGUUUCUCACCCAGCAGGAGCCUGCCCUGCCCCUCGCUUCUAUGCCCCUAUGCCCGCUGCCUUCCCCCCGAUCCCUCGAUCCCCCAUCCUGACCAGUUCCUCAGGCCUCUGGGAAAACGGCAACUGCUGCCUUCCCGGCUGAUGAGCCCCGGAGCCGCCUCCUAGGUCUUCUUUCUGUAUCCACUUGGCCUCGCUCACAGCCUGUGGAAGUUCCCGGGCCAGGGAUCGAACCUGUGCCACGGCAGUGACUACGCCUGAUCCUUCACCUGCUGCACCACAGGGGAACUCCUGUCUUCCUGUUUAAGUGCCGAUGUUUGAAUCCUCUUUGCCUUGUCCUGGGCUUACCUACUUUCAGUGACAGCAACGGCACCCAUCUUUAAGGUAAUCCGGUAACUACUGAUGAUUGAAUGAGGACGAGGAAACUGAACAGCGUGACACUGCUGUCCCUGCAAGACAAAAACAGUCACCUGGGGGCAAUGUGCUGUGGUUCAGCUGAACACACGGGGUGCAUAUACAUUACUGUUUACUCUCCACAGCAGCCGAGUCAAAUAAUUCAAGUUUUACAGAGAAUCAGGUGAGGCCAGGGAUAUGGAGUAAUUUACACAGAGAGCAGAUGACGGGCCAGGUCGAGUUCCUUCCCUCCACCUCGUGAGCACUACGGGGCUUCCUGCUCGUGAGGUCGUCCGUCUCUGACCCGCUGGCUUGUCGGGCUCUCGGGACAAGCCGGCCCCCUCCAGCCCCGCCAGCCUUCCAGAGCCCCCUCCUGAUCCGACAGCACUGGAUCCCUCGCCCUUGUGUUGAACAGGACCGAUACGUGUCUGGGGCCCGUGGCCGCCUCUCCCCCCCACAGUGGGAUCUGCGGGAGCCACUGAGAGGCUAGCCAGCCCUUCCCACUCAGCUGAGUCCUGAUUUCAGGUGCUGUUCUUUCCAAGAAGGUACCUGGGAAGACACCUUUCCGCAAAGAUCUUUCCUUCGCACGGUAGGUUCCUCGCUGUCCUAUUUCUUCUCUUUACGCUCCCUCUUGACCUGCAAACCCAGUCUGAAACUCACCUGUGGACCCAGCAGUGCCACGCCUGGUAUAAACCCAAGAGAAGUGAAAACACAUGUCCACACACAGACUUGUGGCCGCAACAGCCAAAGAAGGAACACAACCCAAGUGGCCAUCAGUUAAGAAAAGGGUGAGUAAAAUGCGACCUGUCUCUGCAGGAGACCAUUAUUCAAGCGUGGAAAGGAAUGACGGAAUGUCACCUGCAGCAACACGGAUGAACUUUGAACGCAUUAUGCAAAUGAAGGUAGCCAGAGACAAAGGCCACAGGUGUAUAAUUCCUUCCAUGUGAAGGCUCCGCAAGGGCAAAUUCGCAGGGAGAGGAAGUAGAUCCGUGGUCACCAGGGGUGAGAAAACAGACGAGCAGCAGCUCCACGUAACCCAAAGACUAAACACCACUCAAGCCUACACUUUCAAAAGGUGACUUUUACGUGGUGUGAAUCAUGUCACAUUGAAAACGUAUUGUAAAGUCACCUGCGAUUUGAGUCACUGGGCUUUUCAUAGCUCUUCGGUUUUCCCCUCUGUGAAGCAUGGAUGUGGGACUAGAGAUCCUUCUAAAGAAGCAGAUCCAGCCCUUCCUCUGCGGGAUCCUUUGGCAAUGCGGGAAGUCGGGAUGGGAGAGGCUGGCCCUUUCUGCUCCUUCCUGCCUCGCUCUGAGCCCACCUGCAGUCGUGGAACCCGGAGCGCAAGAGGGGUGUUUAUUCCAUUCUCUUGUUUUGUUCUUGAGAAAAUCAACAAAGCCUUGGGAGAGGACAGUACAUUGUCAAGGUCAUAGGAUAAGUCCGGGCACUGAAUCCUGUUUCCUUCCUUCAACGGGGCUGUGGAAGGCACCCUGUCCCACCCACCUGGGAAGCCUCUGCUGCCCAGGAAACAAGAUGCAAAGCCUUCCACUGACACCUGAAGUCAGGCCCUUUGGGCAGGAAGGUUAGGGGUGACCUGUUGCAAAUACUGGCUUAUCUGUAUCUACCCAACAGUUAGGACUGAAGUUUUGUCUGUUUGUUUUGAAACAGGUUUGACUUGCUCAUUCUUGCGCAUUGAAAAAGGAGGUGAAAGUAGGUCUCCUGAAAAUGGUUGCUUAUAUUCCCAAACAGAGCUGAGCCUGCUGGGCAGACAAUGGUGAAGGAGCUGGGCAGGGCUCUCUUUUGCAGAUUCUUUUUUCUUUUUUUUGCCUUUUAGGGCCACACCCACAGCUUAUGGAGGUUCCCCGGCUAGGGGUCCAAUCAGAGCUACAGCCGCCUACACCACAGCCACAACAAUGCAGGAUCUGAGCCACGACCUACACCACAGCUCACGGCAACGGCGGAUCCUUAACCCACUGAGUGAGGCCGGGAAUCGAACACGCGUCCUCAUGGUUACUAGUCGGAUUUGUUUCCACUGAGCCACAGCAGGAACUCCUCUUUUGGGAGAUAUUUAAAGGGGCAAGUUUUACUCCUGGACAAGAGUCCAGCGUGGCAUCAAAGAAUCCAUGGAGGAAAAGGCAUUUGGCCCAGGGGUGAGGGACAGGCGGCAGGCCCAGCAAGAAGGAAGAGGCAGAAAGAGCCACAAAGAAUGAAAAGCAGUAGGCUAGGGCUUCGAGUAUGUGUAGAGAAAUUUUGCAAAACAAAACCUGACUUGACCCCAGAGGACAUUUGGGAAUGUCUGAAGGCAUUUUGGUCGUCGCAGCUUGAGGGGAGGUGUGACUGUGUCCGGAGGAGAGGCCAGGAUGCUGUGGCAUCAUUCAGUCUGCGUCUAAGGGGCGAGGGUGUGAGCCCUGGUCCGAGCCCGGGAACCAGGGCAGCCAAUGUCCCAGGGCACGAGGAGGUGGGGUCCAGCUCCAGCAGGAGGCCAGUCGCCCUUCCUCCACCUCUGGCUUCCCUUCAGUCCCCCAGUGGGUUGCGGGGGACGCCCGCAGCGUUGGCGAGGGCAGACUUCAUCACUCAGCUGACUCUCUUCUGUAAACACCAUGGACAAAGCCAGAAGGGAUGUUUUAUCAGCCUUCUGGGCAUCCCUUAGGCCCAGCCAAGGGGGCACAUACAGUGAACCAUCACAGACAUAGUUUUAAAAAAAGCCCUGAGAACCAGGGUCUGGGAGGCAGCUCUGCAAAGCCUGGCACGUCAGCCCAACAGGUGCCCGCCCUCACGUGGGGGGAAGACACGUCACAGACGAGGAAACAAAAGCAGGCAAAAUAUAUUUUCACAGCAGUCGAGGAAAUAAACAGGUGAUAUGACAGGCAGCAAUCGGGGAGGGGGCUCUUGGGGCUCCUGCGAUGAGACAACCAGGGGUGACGAGCCUGGGCUCAAACCCUGGGGCUCCGGAGCUGGAGAAGCGUGUUUCUGACCAAGGGAUCGCAUGGGUUACAUGGGCGUGUUUGGGAAAGCUGCCGCGAGGUUGGCUAGACCAGGGGGUCCCGGGCGUACGCGGUGCUGAAAAGGCACAAUCCCUCAGGAAUUUAUGACACGCUCUACAGCAGAGGAGAGGAUGUGCUCUCCAGUAACCUUCAUGGACAAGUUCAAAGUGCCCGCCCCCGUCUCCGCGCCUGCGUUCCACGGUGGCUAUUACAACACAGACACGCCAGGCUGUGGCAGACAGAGCCACAGUCACUACGCGCAUUUCAUCCGGAAGGACAGCGUUCGCCUCCCCCUGCCCUCAUCGGUUGGAGGGCGACUCGAAGGAAGACCCUGGUACGGGAGCAGGUGGCAUCUGCAUGGCUGUGUGCACGGCUGGCUGAUAACCCAAGAAGCUGCAGGCUGCAGCCAGAAAAACCCCUGAAAGUGCCGCAACAAAGACCAGGGGAUUGAAGGGAACCAGAUGAGAGAGUUAAGCCUCUACCGAAAGGGUGGAAACGAAAAUGUUAACUAAAGGUUGCCUCUGAGUGGCAGCAUGAUGGGUGACUUCAACGGUUUUGGAGUAUUUUCGACAGUAAACACGGAUGUUGUAAUAAAAGAAAAACCAAGCCAGCUGUUGUUUUUAUGAAGUUCUUUGACUUCUGAAAUCAGAGCCCCCCUGAAAUCUGAAACUGAGAGAGGAGUUCCCGUUGUAGCUUAGCGGGUUAAGAACCUGACUGGUAUCCAUAAGGAUGCGGGCUCGAUCCUUGGCCUCGCAGCGUGAGUUAAGGAUCCGGGGCUGCUGCGAGCUGCAGCGUGGGUCACAGAUGCGGCUUGGCUCCCGUGUUGCUGUGGCUGUGGUGUAUGUGGGCUGGCGCGGCAGCUCUGAUUCAACCCCUAGCCUGGGAAAGUCCACAGCCUGGGUGCAGCCUUUAAAAAAAUGAAAAUAAAAUAAAACUGAGAGAGACUGUGCUGUCGAGAUUGUGAAAUCGGGGCCCUUAAGUGCCAGCCGCACGGUGCCCACGACGGAAGCAGACUGAGCGACGCGCUUGCGGAGUGAAGCCCCGCAUUAGGGAGGCCCUGCGGAAGGGGCUUCGGAAGCCUGGGAUGAGGGCCCAGGGAGGGGAGGGUGCGGGCCGUCCCUCUCUGCUCUGGGACCCAGAGGUGUUAGAGCGUCUGAUGCUCCAAGAGAAGCCAAACGCAUCCCUACACAGUAAGCGCAGGCGCCCACGUCGAAGGUCGAAGGUAAACUCGGUGCAGAGCGGAGCGCACCUGUCUGGAGGCCAGGAUGGUCCCUUGCAGCCUCCCUCCCAGACUUCCUUUUAGCUGAGCCACCUCCUGCUCC